rnacentral:rRNA from 1 species
AUGAGGGGAAUGAGCAAUGUCUGCUUUGAUGAGGUAUUGACGCUGAUUAAGGAGGCACUUCUAGAAGGUGAGGCCUUGCCCAAAAAUUCUCAUGGGGCCAAAAAGUUUGUGAGAGCCAUUGGUAUUGGAUAUGAUAGUAUAGAUGCAUGCAAAAACGAUUGCAUUCUAGUAUUUAGGAAGGAACAUGCUCAUGCCAUAUCAUGUCCAGUGUGGGGCACAAGUAGAUGGAAGAGCGUAAAUAUUGGAGUUGACGGAAGACAUGUCCACAAGGUGCCUCAAAAGGUGGUUAGUCAUUUCCCGCUAAAGAAGAGACUCCAAAGAUUGUUCGCUUCUACAAAGAAGGCAUUAAAUAUGAGGUGGCACAAUGAAGACCGCACAAAGGACAACUUGAUAUGA